AAUUCUUCCACCCGGCACCGGCUCCGCAAUGAACAACUUCAGGUUCACUGAGCUGAGCGGAUUCCACUCGCUGUGCCCUCGGAGCCUGCCUGAAUCUCCCGCCCAGUCUCAAACCAUGCAGCUGAGUAACUGCAAGGGCGCCUUUGAGGAGUAGCACGCAGAGAGUGUCAAUGAAGACCUCAAAGUCUGGAGAAAAAUGACCUUUCAUGGAAUAAGAAGUAUACCUCCUUCUACAUGUUUUUGUCUUACUGACCUCUGAUAACUGGAACACAUGACUCUGGGUCUGUAGAAAGUCAACUGAUCAAACUCAUCCUCACCAUGCAUCAACUGUUCAGACUGGUUUUGGGACAAAAAGAUCUUUCACGAGCUGGGGACCUCUUCUCCUUAGAUGACUCUGAGAUUGAAGACAGCCUUACAGAAGCUUUGGAGCAAAUUAAGAUAAUUAGCUCAUCUUCAUCUGUGGAAAGGCAAGAGUGAAAUCAGAAAGGCCAGUUGAGUGGCUACUGAAAUAAUUCAGAUAAGAAGAAGCAGAGGUUCUGACCAUCAUGGAGCAGUG
rnacentral:lncRNA from 10 species